CCUACGGGGGCUGCAGUGGGGAAUAUUGGACAAUGGGCGAAAGCCUGAUCCAGCCAUGCCGCGUGUGUGAAGAAGGCCUUCGGGUUGUAAAGCACUUUCAGUGGGGAAGAAAGCCUUGGGGCUAAUACCCUCGAGGAAGGACAUCACCCACAGAAGAAGCACCGGCUAACUCCGUGCCAGCAGCCGCGGUAAUACGGAGGGUGCGAGCGUUAAUCGGAAUUACUGGGCGUAAAGCGCGCGUAGGCGGUCUGAUAAGCCGGUUGUGAAAGCCCCGGGCUCAACCUGGGAACGGCAUCCGGAACUGUCAGGCUAGAGUGCAGGAGAGGAAGGUAGAAUUCCCGGUGUAGCGGUGAAAUGCGUAGAGAUCGGGAGGAAUACCAGUGGCGAAGGCGGCCUUCUGGACUGACACUGACGCUGAGGUGCGAAAGCGUGGGUAGCAAACAGGAUUAGAUACCCUGUAGUC
rnacentral:rRNA from 1 species